rnacentral:rRNA from 1 species
UACGAGGGGUCCUAGCGUUGUUCGGAAUCAUUGGGCGUAAAGCGGAUGUAGGCGGCAAAAUAAGUCAGAUGUGAAAGCCCCGAGCUUAACUCUGGAAGUGCAUUUGAUACUGUUUUGCUUGAGUACGGGAGAGGGUAGUGGAAUUCCUGGUGUAGUGGUGAAAUACGUAGAUAUCAGGAGGAACACCGGUGGCGAAGGCGGCUACCUGGCCCAGUACUGACGCUAAAAUCCGAAAGCGUGGGGAUCAAACAGG